rnacentral:rRNA from 1 species
GACGAACGCUGGCGGCGUGCUUAACACAUGCAAGUCGAACGGAAAGGCCCUGCUUUUGUGGGGUGCUCGAGUGGCGAACGGGUGAGUAACACGUGAGUAACCUGCCCUUGACUUUGGGAUAACUUCAGGAAACUGGGGCUAAUACCGGAUAGGAGCUCCUGCUGCAUGGUGGGGGUUGGAAAGUUUCGGCGGUUGGGGAUGGACUCGCGGCUUAUCAGCCUGUUGGUGGGGUUGUGGCUUACCAAGGCUUUGACGGGUAGCCGGCCUGAGAGGGUGACCGGCCACAUUGGGACUGAGAUACGGCCCAGACUCCUACGGGAGGCAGCAGUGGGGAAUAUUGCACAAGGGGCGGAAGCCUGAUGCAGCAACGCCGCGUGCGGGAUGACGGCCUUCGGGUUGUAAACCGCUUUCGCCUGUGACGAAGCGUGAGUGACGGUAAUGGGUAAAGAAGCACCGGCUAACUACGUG